rnacentral:rRNA from 1 species
AGCGAACGCUGGCGGCAGGCUUAACACAUGCGAGUCGAGCGCCCCGCAAGGGGAGCGGCAGACGGGAGAGUAACACGUGGGAACAUACCUUUUGGUUCGGAACAACUGAGGGAAACUUCAGCUAAUACCGGAUAAGCCCUUACGGGGAAAGAUUUAUCGCCGAAAGAUUGGCCCGCGUCUGAUUAGCUAGUUGGUGAGGUAACGGCUCACCAAGGCGACGAUCAGUAGCUGGUCUGAGAGGAUGAUCAGCCUCACUGGGACUGAGACACGGCCCAGACUCCUACGGGAGGCAGCAGUGGGGAAUAUUGGACAAUGGGGGCAACCCUGAUCCAGCCAUGCCGCGUGAGUGAUGAAGGCCUUAGGGUUGUAAAGCUCUUUUGCCCGGGAAGAUAAUGACGGUACCGGGAGAAUAAGCCCCGGCUAACUUCGUG